rnacentral:ncRNA from 1 species
UAAAAGCUUGGUCCCGACUUUACUAUCAACUUCAACCCAACUUACACAUGCAAGUAUCCGCGCCCCUGUGAAAAAGCCCUCACAUCUCUCCCCCCGAAGAAGAGGAGCGGGCAUCAGGCACUUUUAAUAUAUAGCCCAAGACGCCUUGCAAUGCCACACCCCCAAGGGAAUUCAGCAGUGAUAAACAUUAAGCCAUAAGCGAAAGCUUGACUUAGUUAAGGUUAUUUAGGGCCGGUAAAAAUCGUGCCAGCCACCGCGGUUAUACGAUAGGCCCAAGUAGAUAGCAACGGCGUAAAGAGUGGUUAGGGAUAUAAACAAAUAGAGCCAAACACCCUCCAAGCUGUUAUACGCUUUUCGAGGCCACGAAGCCCCCUUACGAAAGUAGCUCUACCAAAAACCACCUGAACCCACGAAAACUAAGAAACAAACUGGGAUUAGAUACCCCACUAUGCUUAGCCGUAAACACAGAUGUUUAACCGACAGUCACCAUCCGCCCGGGCACUACAAGCGCCAGCUUAAAACCCAAAGGACUUGGCGGUGCUUCAGACCCACCUAGAGGAGCCUGUUCUAGAACCGAUAAUCCCCGUUCAACCUCACCACCCCUAGCCCCCCCCCGCCUAUAUACCGCCGUCGUCAGCUUACCCCGUGAGGGUCAAACAGUGAGCAUAAUGAGCAACCCUCAAAACGUCAGGUCGAGGUGUACCGAAUGAGGUGGGAAGAAAUGGGCUACAUUUUCUACCACAGAAUACUACGAACAGCAAACUGAAAUAAAUGCUUAAAGGUGGAUUUAGCAGUAAAAAGGAACUAGAGAGUUCUUUUGAAUCAGGCUCUGAAGCGCGUACACACCGCCCGUCACCCUCCCCUCACCCCCCCCC